AACAUGAUGAUUAUCUUUGGUCCGUGUUGCUGAAUUACAUUGAUUUUAUCAAUAACCAUUUCUGAUUAUA